GGAGAAAUGGCUGAGAGGUUAAAAGCGGUGGAUUGCUAAUCCAUUAUAUAGAAUUUUUUUUAUAUCAAGGGUUCGAAUCCCUUUUUCUCCG
rnacentral:tRNA from 1 species